UGGACUGAAGGAGGCCUUUUGAGCAAAUUGUUGGUUCUCUUUAGCUGAUAAGAGUAAAUGCACGAACAAAAGAGGCUGUUUUAUUUUAUGACACCACUGCAGAAAGUAACUUCUUUCUGCAAGUCCUGGAAAGCAUGGGCUCUUGAUCUUGACUUUGAGAGUGCUUUUCCAGAGCACACAUCACACCCCCUCUCAUCAUCAAUCAAAAUGAUCAUGUUGGUAACACACCUUAAGAUAACACCUUUAUGCAAUCCUACAUAGAAUUAUGCAGAAAAAAUCCAACUAUUUUCAAACUCUCUCUCUCUCUCUCUCUCUCACACACACACACACACACACACACACAUGAGCUGAUGUGAGAGAGAAUUGGAAGCGUUGGGGGAAAUAGUUGAGCGAGUUCUAUUCCUUGUUGCAAUCACAUGCAGAUAUUAGAUGAGACAUCAAAAUCAUGGGGUCAAUACCAUGGCAUGUGUUGUUUAUAGAAAACAAAGCAAGGGGGGAUAAUCUAACAGGUUAAAGCCUCCUGGCCUUGCAUGAUGACAAAGUAGAGAGAGCAUUAUAUUGUAAUUUGUACACCAAUAAUUUGAAAAGGAGGCAAGGAAAAGUCAAUUCAGGCAGAAAAAGAUGAAAAAGAAAAAACUUGUAACUUCAGUCAUUCACGCUGAAACCUAAAGUCAGACAGACAAACUGACAGUUAGCUCCAAUAAAAAGAAAAUUAAAGAAAAAAAAGCUUCAAAACUAAGUCAUUCCCUCCAUCAUCCUAUUGCGACCCCGCAAAACCAAAAUAAUCCCAUCCCAUGAUGGCUUCUUCAAGAAGAUUUACGAAUGAGCUAAAGAUUACAGUCAUUAUGGUGUUUAUUUUUUCUCUCACAUUCUUGCCUUCCAAUUCAGCUGAGCCAGUGUUGGUGAGAGAUGGUGAUCAUCAGGGCUUGAAAGAGCAAAUGGAGAUGGUGUUGGGUUCAAGUCCACCUAGGUGUGUUAAGAGGUGCAUGGGUUGCAUACCUUGCACGCCCACUCUUGUUGCUUCUGCACACCAUGGUAAUAAUCAUCCCAAGGCAGCAAAUUCAAAUCAGGGAGAUGAAAGCUAUUAUCUCCUCUCAUGGAAAUGCAAAUGCAGGAACAAGUUGUUCCAACCUUGAACAUUUUGUUUUAGCUUAGCCAACCUAAUCAUUUUCUUCCUACCUCCUUCCUAUGUACUAACUAAGUAGCAGCUUAUGAUAUAUAUUUGAUACAGAGACUGAUUAAUCUCACCCCAUUUACUUCGAUUGUUGCCGUUUUGUAUAUACUUUAGAAAAACAUA